rnacentral:rRNA from 1 species
AUGCACGAAACAAGCUCAAAUCACCCGCAGAGCAGGCCAGUGGGAAGCAAGUCCAUGGUCGGGAUGGGUUCUUCCAGGCAGUCCAAGGUCAUCAUGGGUUCUCAUCCUGCUCUUUUGGCAUUUAUGACUGGUUGUUGCUCUACCCAAGGUUUCAUCCAAACCAUUGAACUUGACAGUAAAACUCUAUCCAAAAUUCUGAACAAGUGUAUAAGAGUGUUGAUGAUGUGGCUUAGAGGAGGCCUCGACUUGCACCAAAUAUAUGCUCAUAUGCAACUACAGCCUAUGCAGGCGAAUCAUGCGCUUGUGCCGAGCUGA